rnacentral:rRNA from 1 species
GAUGAACGCUGGCGGCGUGCCUAAUACAUGCAAGUCGAGCGAACAGAUAAGGAGCUUGCUCCUUUGACGUUAGCGGCGGACGGGUGAGUAACACGUGGGUAACCUACCUAUAAGACUGGGAUAACUUCGGGAAACCGGAGCUAAUACCGGAUAACAUUUGGAACCGCAUGGUUCUAAAGUGAAAGAUGGUUUUGCUAUCACUUAUAGAUGGACCCGCGCCGUAUUAGCUAGUUGGUAAGGUAACGGCUUACCAAGGCGACGAUACGUAGCCGACCUGAGAGGGUGAUCGGCCAAACUGGAACUGAGACACGGUCCAGACUCCUAAGGGAGGCAGCAGUAGGGAAUCUUCCGCAAUGGGCGAAAGCCUGACGGAGCAACGCCGCGUGAGUGAUGAAGGGUUUCGGAUCGUAAAACUCUGUUAUUAGGGAAGAACAAAUGUGUAAGUAACUGUGCACGUCUUGACGGUACCUAAUCAGAAAGCCACGGCUAACUACGUG